rnacentral:tRNA from 1 species
GGGGAUGUGGCUCAGUGGUAGAGCACUUGCCUAGCAUGCUUGAGGCACUGAGUUCAAUCCUCAGAACCACA